GACGGGUGAGUAACGCGUGGGCAACCUGCCCCAUACAGGGGGAUAACAGUUAGAAAUGACUGCUAACACCGCAUAAGCGCACAGGGUCGCAUGGCCCGGUGUGAAAAACUCCGGUGGUAUGGGAUGGGCCCGCGUCUGAUUAGUCAGUUGGCGGGGUAACGGCCCACCAAAGCGACGAUCAGUAGCCGACCUGAGAGGGUGACCGGCCACAUUGGGACUGAGACACGGCCCAAACUCCUACGGGAGGCAGCAGUGGGGAAUAUUGCACAAUGGGGGGAACCCUGAUGCAGCGACGCCGCGUGAGCGAAGAAGUAUCUCGGUAUGUAAAGCUCUAUCAGCAGGGAAGAAAAAUGACGGUACCUGACUAAGAAGCCCCGGCUAACUACGUGCCAGCAGCCGCGGUAAUACGUAGGGGGCAAGCGUUAUCCGGAUUUACUGGGUGUAAAGGGAGC
rnacentral:rRNA from 1 species